rnacentral:lncRNA from 1 species
AAAAUAUUUAUCUGCCCCCCGCACCUCAUUUCUUCUGCCAUAAUCAUUUCCUAAAUAUCAUAAGCUUAUUUUCUCUACCUUCACCCUCAAACCUUCUCUCUCUGCCUUCGUCCUCAAACCCUAUUUUCUCGCUCAUUGCCUUCGUUUCCUCGCUCCCCUAAAACUUCACGAGAAUCAUUUUCCCCCAAAUUUCCUGCACCAUCUUCGUGUUGUUCUUCCUUGUUUGGGCUGAGAAUUUUGUUCGUCGUCGAGGCUUCGAGGCAUCGUGGUGCUUUCUUAGCAUUUGUGCAUCAAUUGUUUCAGUGCUAUUAGAUCCCUUUCUCACAGCUUCCAUUUGCAAUUCAGGUUCUCUUUGAUCGGUAAGCUUCUCCUUCUUCCUUUUCUCUCUAAUCCUAUUCACUUCCUUUUAAUUUUGAACAUGCUUUUACUCGCUCUCUCUUUGUAGGGCUUUUCUUGCUCCUUAGAUUCCCAAUUCUAGUCACGUCUUGCUAGAUCAGAGGGGAAUUUCGGAAAAUAUUCCAAUUUCGCGUUUGGUUUCGGCUUUCUCAACUCAGAUGCGGGGUUCGGUGAGUCUUAGGGAUGAAUUAACUGAAUCACCUCGUUUCUAGCUGUGAGUUUUAAUUUCUUCUUCUUCCUCGAACCUGCCUCUGCUUCUUUUUCGUUUUUCUGUUUCUUUCCUUUCUCAACUGAUGAACUGUAGUGUGGAUCUGUAAUUUUGCUUUUUCCUGUUUCUUGUUUUAGUUGAGACUUCCUUUUUGAUUCUCUUGUCGCUGGAGUGAAAUUCAAGCUUCGAUGUGGGUUUUAUGUUGUUAUUGCUUUGUGUCUGCAUGUUGUGUGUUUCCGGAUUUCAACCGACCAGCCAAUUAAUCCUAGUGUUUUGAAAACGAGGGAUGGUUGAGAUUAGAGAGUUUGUGUGGGAUGCAUUCUUUUCUAGAUGUUAUGCAUUCUUUUCUAGAUGUUUCAGCAUUCUGCCGACUAUUUUGGCAAAUCGUUGCAGUGAUUCUGUUAAUGACUACGAGUUUUGCAUCUUCUUUUCUUUUUAGAGGCGAGGAUUUGGACUUAGAAAAUUUGUCAGCGAAAUCUGGUGCAAUAGGGGCUAAGGUUUGUUGUCCUUUGUUGGUCAUCAUGGUGCAUGCACCCUCCACAGAGGGCAAAGCAGUGGCACCUCCUUAUAGCUGUUGAUUAGCCUGUCUGCUUUCUGGUAAAUGGAUAGGAUUAUCUUGUUAUUUUAUCAUUUUUUCCCUCAAUAAUAUGUCCUUUCCAAUACUUUCAUCAUUCAAUCAUUGUUUAGAGAAUUUCCGUAUUCAUUUUGCUCUCUAUGUGCUGACCAAGGUAACUUGUUUUGCUAACAAUACAUCGAUGCUUUGUUCGGUGCCAAGUUUUAUUGUCUGAACUGUUUUUUUUUUUUUGUCUACUUGAGUAUUAAAACUCUAAUUUCUGUUCAGCGUAUUCAAUUUGUUGUUUUGCCAUAAUACACUUUGCCACCACAUAACCUAGUAUAUGGUACAAACAAAUGUUUUGUAGUUAAAGUGAUUCUUAGGUUGGCAUUAAGUUUGGAUCGUGUUGUUUUAACAUACGGUGCCUUAUAUUGUAGCUGUAAAACCUGUGCAAUAUAUCUUCACUUAAAACAGAUUAUAUUGUAGCUGUAAAACAAAAUCCAUUUAAUACUUGUGUUUUUUAGGUAAUUGAAAGUGUUCGGCAAGUUGUAUUAAAGUUUCUUUUCACUAAUGUCCUAACAUGUUAGUAAAAGCUGUAGAGCCAUCUAUUUUACUUGUUGGAGAAUUUUAGAUGGUGAUAUCUGUAUUCUGUGUGAUGAAGGUUGAAAAACAGUUAUUUUCAUAUGUCAUUUUAGACCAAAUUACGCCUUUUACUACUUGGAAUGAGCAUAGAAUCAAGCAAAACUAAAUAAAUGAGUCUGUAGAGAGUCAAAAGCUGUUUUUAGCGAUAUUAUGCUUGUUUUGCAUUAUUUUGUAGCAUUUCUGAGAAAAUGAAGAAUGAAGUUGAAGAUAAAGGUCGUAGACUCAAGAAAAGAGAAGAAAAUUUAAGAUCUGAAGAGUCGACGCACAGCCCGGCAGCAACUUACACCGUCGGGCGGUCCAGGACGAGGAGUAGGCACCUGGUGUUGGCGCUGGGCGGUUUUGAGGGAAACCGCCGGGCGGUAGACCCCUACCGCCGGGCGGUAGUGCGAUUUGUGGGAAACCGCCGAGCGCCACACUUGUUCCGCCGGGCGGUGUCUGCUGGGCUUGUACCUGUUUUCUGUGUUUUUUAUGAUUUGUUUGAGCUUGGGCUUGUUUUAUGUUAUUUUUAUGCCCUAUUUAAAGGCCAUAACGUCUUAGGGUUUGGAUCUUUUGAUGGCUUAGGCACAAAAACACACUUUUCACCCCUUUGGGAUAGAUUUGGAGAUGGUGACAGCUCUCCUUUUCUCCUUUUUAGGGUUUGUAUCUCUUUCAUUCCAUUUUUCAUCUAGUUUCACCAUGACUAUGGUGAACUAAACCCUAUUGUUGUUGGGGGAAACAAUGUAAUCUUUUGAUACUCUCUUUUAUUGAAACUCUUGUUUAUUUAUAUGGUUUCCAUAUGUUUUGAUUGUUAAUUGUUAGGUUCUCAUCUGUGCUUAAUGCCUUUAUCGUUUAACUCAUUCGAUAACUGAUGUUUGUCUUUAUUGAUACGGGGACGUACAGUAAUGUCAUGAACUGGUGAGUAAUUUCUUGAUUAUGCAAUACCACCUAGGGAUAGGGGUAGGACGAUCAAUUGCUUUUAACUUCUGCUCUAUAAUGCUGUAUUAAUUGCUAGGGGAGGCUAGGGAUAGCAAGCCAGAAAUUAGUAUUAGGCUCUUUUCGCCGAGGGAUCGGGUUAAGGGUAGGCUAAGAAAGUUGCAUGACAAUUAAUUAAUCAAGCUUAUAAUUCAAGAGGAGUAAAUAAGAGAGAGCGGAUUGGAUGAAAUUGUAAACCCCCAACAACUCCAUUCAUCCAUCCACUUUUGUGUUUAACCUCAAUUGAUCAAAUUGCAUUCAUUUUUUUUUUUUCUGCACUUUAUAAAAAUCCCAAAAUAUUAUUCUUAUAGUCUUGAUUGGUUAAACAAAAGCACAACAGUUUAGUGUCGUGAGUCUCUUGGAAAAACGAUACUUGAUCUUACCAUUUUUAUUACUUGAACGAUUUGGUACGCUUGCCAAUCCGUUAACACUGUGCUAACCAAGAGGUGCCUUAAACCAAGAGGUGCCUUAUUUUGGCUUGGAAUGAAUGACAUUAAUUAUUAUUUGUAUUUUAACGAGAAUGCUAACAAGUGACCUGAUAGCACUGGUACCUAGUAGUUACGUAUUAAUAAGUAGAAUUUAUUUUAUAUAAGUGUAAAACUAUUGUCAGUAUAGUAUGAACCUUUUAUUUAUUGAUUUCUUCACCCUUAGGUCAGUCAUUUGUUUAAACUAGACAAAUUUUCAAAAUUGAGCUUGGCUUGGAAAAAAAAUUGUCAGUAGAACUUGAUUAUUUUUAUGAUUGAAACUUAGCUAAAAGAUGAAAUAAAUUCGCAUUAAACUAUAAUUUUAUAUUUGUGGAGGUGUCUUGGUGACAUGUUGGUCACGGGCUUGAGUCCAGAAAUAGUCUCUUUCCAUAUUAUACAAGUUAAAGACUAUUUACAUUAUCCUCCCUCACUUUUUGAAGCGAGGAGCCUUUGGCACUAGUAUAUUAGUUGUUAGUAGUAGUAUUCAUAAAGAUGACAUAAGAUUAAAAAGGAAAUCUUUGAUGACGGAAAUGGUGAAUUUUAAGAGAACUUAUAUUUAAAAUUGAAAAGUAUCUUCAAUAUGCAUAUAAAAUAAUAGAACAUGUUUUUAAAUAUGAUUUGGUGGUAAAGGUAUAUUUCUGGUUGCUACUUAGGACCAUCCUAAUCCUAGGGUUACUGCUUUUCCUUAACUAGGGAACUUACCAUGCAACACCUAAACACUAAAACAUCCUCCUUUUAUUAAUUACACCAUAUCAAGUGUGUCUCACAUUGAGAAAUCUUCCUUAUAAUAAUUCUUAUUUUCAAUCUAAACAAAUAAAUUGAAAGGGAGCAACUGGACCAAUUCAAAAAAAUGGCUAAAUAUAUGUUUUUCUUAAACAAAAUACUAGGUUCUAGAAUUCCUGUUGCUAUAUAUAAUUAAUGGAUGCUAUAUCAUUGUUUGCAGGUAUAUGCACAACCACAAAUUGAUAUUCUGCUCUUAGUGGACUCUCAUAUUUCAAGGCUUUACAUUUAUUAAACAGUGAAUUGAGUUGGAGAUCAAUUACAAGUUUCUUGAUUUAAGCUAGACAUAAAAAGUCUGUAUUUUAUAAAUUUAUUUUUAUGACAUUCAAAAAUAUUUUGUUAAUAGUAUUAAAAUGUUUCAUAGAUAGCUUUGUUGAAAUGAAUCUCUUUCUCUUUUCUUGGGAUGGUUUUUAUAAUUUAUUAUUUUGUUUAAAAUGAUUGUUUCUUAUCUUCUUUU